CGAUGCGAGACUCCGAGAAGCCGCGUACUUUGGAUGGGGGCGCCGAAAUUUUCCGAGGAAACGCGGGACACCGUUAUUCCCUCGCGGAAAGUCGGGCGGACGUAGAUGAUAAUGCGCGUCACCCGCUGUGUGUGGAUUUACGCACGCGCGCGCGUUUGUGUUGCGAAAAGUUGCUGGCUUUGGCGGAGGAUUAAAGUUCGCGCUGAUCGUACAACUUACACCUGUGUCGGAUCGGCGAUUUAUUCCGUUACACCGCUGAUGUGCUCCUUCUCUUUCCGACUUUAACGUUUCGUAAAAUUCACGGAUGCGCACUCGACGACAUGUAACGAACGCGGGGGAAUGGAAGCAACGACACGUGCUGCAAACGUGAGGCUACAUUCGGAAGAGAGGGAAACGAGAGGGGAGGAGCGACGCGACGGGAAGAAAAAGAAAUAAAAUGGCAAACGAUUGCAUAUGGAUGGAGUGGCAUAUACGCGGAGGAAAGCACGCUUUCCAUGUGGCGGAUGGACAGAUGUCUCAACUGGCGCGCGUACGGAACGCCGGGACCGAAAACGGAAUACGAACGACGGAGAUAAUAAAACCAUUAGGAUCAAACGUUACGGCGUUUUCGCUCGUAACAAAUGACGCUCGCGAAAGAAAAUAUGGAGAUAUAGCGUAGUAGCAUUUCACCGGUGUAAAUUCCGCGCUAUCAAUCAUACUUUCGAAGGCUCCUGGUUGGAACGUUGCAUUCGUUAUUCUCCUUAGUAAAGAGUACAAAUAACAAAGAGACUGGAAUGUAGCAUCAUGGCGGAUGAUUAAAAUAAA